GGCGGCAUGCCUAACACAUGCAAGUCGAACGGGGCGCUUCGGCGCCUAGUGGCGGACGGGUGAGUAAAGCGUAGGAAUCUGCCUUGUCGUGGGGGACAACCUGGGGAAACUCAGGCUAAUACCGCAUACGCUCGCGAGAGGAAAGCGGGGGAUCUUCGGACCUCGCGCCGCAAGAAGAGCCUACGUCCGAUUAGCUAGUUGGUAGGGUAAAAGCCUACCAAGGCGACGAUCGGUAGCUGGUCUGAGAGGAUGAUCAGCCACACUGGGACUGAGACACGGCCCAGACUCCUACGGGAGGCAGCAGUGGGGAAUAUUGGACAAUGGGCGCAAGCCUGAUCCAGCAAUGCCGCGUGGGUGAAGAAGGCCUGCGGGUUGUAAAGCCCUUUAAGUGGGGAGGAACGGUGGGAUGCGAACAGUGUCCUGCUCUGACGUUACCCACAGAAUAAGCACCGGCUAACUCCGUGCCAGCAGCCGCGGUAAUACGGGGGGUGCAAGCGUUAAUCGGAAUUACUGGGCGUAAAGCG
rnacentral:rRNA from 1 species